AUUGAACGCUGGCGGCAGGCCUAACACACGCAAGUCGAGCGGAUGAGUGGAGCUUGCUCCAUGAUUCAGCGGCGGACGGGUGAGUAAUGCCUAGGAAUCUGCCUGGUAGUGGGGGACAACGUUUCGAAAGGAACGCUAAUACCGCAUACGUCCUACGGGAGAAAGCAGGGGACCUUCGGGCCUUGCGCUAUCAGAUGAGCCUAGGUCGGAUUAGCUAGUAGGUGAGGUAAUGGCUCACCUAGGCGACGAUCCGUAACUGGUCUGAGAGGAUGAUCAGUCACACUGGAACUGAGACACGGUCCAGACUCCUACGGGAGGCAGCUGUGGGGAAUAUUGGACAAUGGGCGAAAGCCUGAUCCAGCCAUGCCGCGUGUGUGAAGAAGGUCUUCGGAUUGUAAAGCACUUUAAGUUGGGAGGAAGAGCAGUAAGUUAAUACCUUGCUGUUUUGACGUUACCAACAGAAUAAGCACCGGCUAACUUCGUGCCAGCCGCCGCAGUAACAC
rnacentral:rRNA from 1 species